UGCAAGUCGAGCGGAUGACGGGAGCUUGCUCCUUGAUUCAGCGGCGGACGGGUGAGUAAUACCUAGGAAUCUGCCUGGUAGUGGGGGACAACGUUUCGAAAGGAACGCUAAUACCGCAUACGUCCUACGGGAGAAAGCAGGGGACCUUCGGGCCUUGCGCUAUCAGAUGAGCCUAGGUCGGAUUAGCUAGUUGGUGAGGUAAUGGCUCACCAAGGCGACGAUCCGUAACUGGUCUGAGAGGAUGAUCAGUCACACUGGAACUGAGACACGGUCCAGACUCCUACGGGAGGCAGCAGUGGGGAAUAUUGGACAAUGGGCGAAAGCCUGAUCCAGCCAUGCCGCGUGUGUGAAGAAGGUCUUCGGAUUGUAAAGCACUUUAAGUUGGGAGGAAGGGCAUUAACCUAAUACGUUAGUGUUUUGACGUUACCGACAGAAUAAGCACCGGCUAACUCUGUGCCAGCAGCCGCGGUAAUACAGAGGGUGCAAGCGUUAAUCGGAAUUACUGGGCGUAAAGCGCGCGUAGGUGGUUCGUCAAGUUGGAUGUGAAAUCCCCGGGCUCAACCUGGGAACUGCAUCCAAAACUGGCGAGCUAGAGUAGGGCAGAGGGCGGUGGAAUUCCCUGUG
rnacentral:rRNA from 1 species